UACGGGGGGAGCAAGCGUUGUUCGGAUUUACUGGGCGUAAAGGGCGCGUAGGCGGUCGUGACAAGUCACUUGUGAAAUCUCCGGGCUUAACUCGGAACGGUCAAGUGAUACUGUCGGACUAGAGUACAGAAGGGGCAACUGGAAUUCUCGGUGUAGCGGUGAAAUGCGUAGAUAUCAGGAGGAACACCGGUGGCGAAGGCGGGUCUCUGGGCCGUAACUGACGCUGAUGCGCGAAAGCUAGGGGAGCGAACGGG
rnacentral:rRNA from 1 species